GAUGAAGAACGCAGCGAAAUGCGAUAAGUAAUGUGAAUUGCAGAAUUCAGUGAAUCAUCGAGUCUUUGAACGCACAUUGCGCCCCCUGGUAUUCCGGGGGGCAUGCCUGUCCGAGCGUCAUUGCUGCCCUCAAGCACGGCUUGUGUGUUGGGCCCCGCCCCCCGGUCUCGGGGGGCGGACCCGAAAGGCAGCGGCGGCACCGCGUCCGGUCCUCGAGCGUAUGGGGCUUCGUCACCCGCUCUGUAGGCCCGGCCGGCGCCCGCCGGCGACCCCAAUCAAUCUAUCCAGGUUGACCUCGGAUCAGGUAGGGAUACCCGCUGAACUUAAGCAUAUCAAUAAGCGGAGGA
rnacentral:misc_RNA from 1 species